UGGGGAAUAUUGCACAAUGGGGGAAACCCUGAUGUAGCGACGCCGCGUGAGUGAAGAAGUAUUUCGGUAUGUAAAGCUCUAUCAGCAGGGAAGAUAAUGACGGUACCUGACUAAGAAGCCCCGGCUAACUACGUGCC
rnacentral:rRNA from 1 species